rnacentral:snoRNA from 1 species
AUUGGAUCGAUGAUUGAUUAGUUUAAAUACUGCGUUAUCUUUCUGCAAAUCUCCUAUAAAGGAUUUGAAGAUAAACCAUGAAAAACCUGAGAUCCAAU